GGGAUGAUGUUGAAAUGAAGAAAACCGAACUCAAGGAGUCAGACAGCGCAGAACAAAAGAUGCUGCUUACAGAACACGGCAGAUCUUCACCCUCGUCGAUUUUAUUACAAGAUUCCGGUCAAAAGUUGAAUCUUGGUUCGGCAUUUGUUCAACGAACUCGAUAUUUGAGUCGUAGGCCGAGAUAUGGACCAAGCGCUUUUAUGAUUGAUGUCGUACCAGGUUCCAAAGACACUGUUUUACA
rnacentral:lncRNA from 1 species